GUAAAUAAUAUCAUAAAAUAAAAUCAUGUAACAUUUUAAAUUUUUGUAACUUCGUUUUGAUUAUGUGUAUAUAGUUAACUUGCAGAUAUCAGAUUUACAAACAUAUCUGAAUAAAGAUUACUUGAAAAACUGGUAUCGAUGAACUUACUCUGAUAAAUCUUAUAUUUUUUAAGGGACCAUACUACCAUUUUUAUAUGUGAUCUAACUUUCAGUUUAUAUUAUUUUAUACAUGUUAACAUAAUGUUGAUAUUUUUUUAUCCAUAUUUUUUGUAUCACAACGUCGAGUUACUUUUAGUUCCUACUGUUCCAAAAAGUGGUGCGAUAGGCACAACAAAAACGCAUCAUUGUAAAACAAAUAUAUAUAGGUACAUUUAUCGCUCCGCUCAAAAUUUAAAAUACCUACCCCUUCUAAUUGGUAUUGAAUUUGUCCGAUCUAUUUUCCAAAUAGGUAGAUCACACGUAUGACAGAUAGGUGCCAUAUUUUAUAUUAUACUCUGUCCGAUUUUCCUUCUUAAUUGUUGACACCUAUCAGGUUUAUAACUCUUAUUUUUAUCAUAUAAUUAUAUAUACUAUAGUUCCGUUCGUUCUGAUUGGACUGCGGGACGUAAUUGAUGAAUAUAAAUUGCGUUUGCGAACUGUGGUUAUUAUAGCCGGUGAUCGUAUCAAAUAUUAUGUUAUAUUUACGCGGGAAGAGAUCAUCGCGCCUUGCCCGGAAACGCCAGUCAAUGUUAGAAUCCAACAGCUGGCGGUCUGUUACUAUUCAGCUCAUCGCGCUAUAGUCAUUCCUCUGCUGUCGUCGUGUCGCAGUUAAUUUGUCGGUGUUUUAUUCUUACAUUAAAUAUAGUAUGCACUAUGCAGUGAUUUCCGCGGUCGUUGUUAUUAUUAUUACAAUAGUGUUUCUCGUAAAAUGUUACGUAUACAUUGAAUAGGUAGUAUGUAUUAUAUUAAAUACAAUUGUGUUUAUAACUGAUUGAUCGCUCGAAAAAAUGAAUAAUUGUCGAAAAGUUACAAAAAUAAAAUGGCUUGGAAAUGCAAUAUUUCGACACGCAAGAACUUCCAUUUGAAAAUUCACAUUCAGGUAUUAUUCAUCACCGGCACCUAAUUCCUGCAGAUUUAUCAAACAUGACGGUGCAUAUUCCCAUGUAUACUUACUACAUAUAUAUAACAUUAUAUCUGGUAUUCGUGCAUAUGAUAAACCGCUAAGAAGAGUGAACAUUUUGACUUGACCCAAAGUUUGAAUCGUCUUAACUGUAUUUGUUGCUGGUAGAAGAAAAACAUCGCUCAUAAAAUUUAACGUAAGAAUAUGAUGGAUGUUGUUUACGCGGUCAUUUUAUGUGUCUUGAUGAUUUUCCAUUUUCACUUGGAAGUAAAAUUGCAUCCAUCGCCAACAUGUUUAUGAUUUAAUUACAUAAUUUGAAUUGGUCUGAACAAAUUGGUUGAAAAAUAUACUUCAUUAAAACUCGACGACAUUAUAUUAUCUAGUCGCAGUUAUAAAAUACUAUAUAAUAUAUAUGCACGCGGUAUUAAUAAUGCCGUAACAUUAUAUUAACGACGCGAAAAACACUAAAUUAACUUUUAUAUUAAUAAACGUGACUUAUAUAAAAUUAUCAUUUAAUGAACACUUAUAAUUAUGCUAUAUGUACAUAUUAUUAUAAUUACGCCUUAUACAGUAUAAAUACGACUAUACGAGUAUAACAACACCUAUAGUUAUGUAGUAUGUUAUUGUAGGAAUUAGAUAGAAACUUUGUUUUUUAAUAUUGUAUAUGUUUAUUAUUCAUUAGAUACAUAGAAUCUUGACUUAUAAACUUGUUGUUUAAAAUCUUAUGUAUAUUAUACAUUUAAAAAGUUAUUAAAUUAUAUAUUAUAUAUUAUUUGCUGCAGUACACUAAAAAAAAAGUCCUCGAGAAUCAAUGUAAUAACGUUCCUAUAUUAUUUUUAUGUACUAAAAAAUAUUCGAUUUGCGUGAGCGUUAUAAAAGGUCUAAAAGACUUACAACUUAUUUUUUUUUAUCCACAACAACGAAGUGAAUUGGAGACAACCAGUAUUUGGGCAUAUAUUAUAUAUAUAUAUAUAUAUUAGUGCGAAAGCACGAGGAAAAAAACAACUGAAACUUGAAUUCAGCCCGUGUGUUUGUAUUUUGAUAUUGUAAUGAUGGGUCAAUAAAUUUGUUCUUGAGAUCCAUCGUGAGUUUCGACUUACCACAUCAAUAAAUCCCAACUGGGUCAUCUCGCUACACGCUCGGACAAUAUAAUAAUGGUAUUAUGCGGUAACACGCGCGCGUCUCUUGUCUUUUUUCUCCUCCUCUGUCUUCGUGUUAUUUCUCGUAUGUACCUACACACACAUCCAUAUCUUGGCCGCCGUCCAAAUUCUAUUUCUGCAAUACGACCGUGUGUUUCAGACUGACACAACCUUUUUUGCUUUUUCCACAAGACAUUUAUUAGUUUUUUUUUUUUAUUAUUGCCCAAAAAAAUGUACCACAAAAUUCUGAAUAUCUACAAACUUAGCGAUGACCCUAAUUUUCUUUUAGUUAAUAUAUACAUAUAUGUGUGUGUAUAUAGUGUAUACGUUGGCGCGAGCGUUUUUUUUAAAAAUAAUCCCUUUCAUUGACGUUUGGCAUAUAUCGUUCAAUAUUAUUUUUGUUAUAUUCUCGCGCCAAAUCGAUAUGUCGUAAUUUGCGUGAUCUUGUGUGUUUGCGUGUGUGUAGAUUUUAUGUAUAUUGCUAGUGAAUAGUGAUGGCCAACGACAGUUUCAAAUAUCGAUAUCGUGUUAUCAAAAAAUAUCGAAUUAACCAUUAAAAAGAAAAUUAUUCAUGUUUCGUAUACCUUUUAUAAACCUAAUCCGUUUUUCGAUUUAAUUUAUUUAGGUACCCGUGGGGUUAACUAGAUUCAGUUAAAGUCGUACCAACAUUUUAAUUCACAAACCUAUACAGCGCCAUCGUUCUAUUUAACUUUAUGCAUCAAAUAAUUCUAAACAAAUGACGAUACUGUAUCAGUUUAUUUAUAUCAUUGACCAUCGUUACAUAUGUUACAUAUAUACACAUUACACACACAAACUCAUUUGCUUUUGUUUAUGUUACAUUUUAUUAUAUUAUACAAUAUAUACGUAAAUUGUGACGGUCUGUAAUUGUACAGUCAUUUUUGGCGAGAUAUAAAAAAUGACUGACCACUUUCUGUACAUUUUAUUCAUGUAUAUGCAUAAAAUAUGUAUUCGAGCUGCAGUUAAUUUUGCACGAUACCCAUAUUACUGUCUACCUGCUGGCUUUGAUUUAUUUUACAACCAUACAAUAAUAUCGAUAUUAUUACUAUUAAAAUUAUAUUA